rnacentral:RNase_P_RNA from 2 species
GCAGCGCUUCGGUCUGUCGCUGGCAUUCUCUUAUGGGGAUGCGAGAGGAAAGUCCGGGCAGCGCAGGGCAUCCCACUUCCGAAACUAGAAGCUAUUGGUGACAGUAGGUGUCGGCAGAAGAAAAUGACCGCCCGAAACUUAUCCCGUAUCCAUGCGGGGGUAGUGUCGGGUAAGGGUGAGAAGGUGGUGUAAGAGACCACCAGUUGGCGGGUGAUCGCCAGGCUGUGCCAUCUGGGAGCUGUAAGCUCAUGUAAACCGCAGAUUGAGGGCGGCUCGUCCGAUUGCCUUCGGGCUACUGUGGAGGGUAGAGUGCUUGAGCCUAGGGGUGACUCUAGGACUAGAUAAAUGGCAGACGACUCUGAGCGGUGUCAUCCGUGAGGAGCUACAGAACUCGGCUUAUAGGGGCACUGCUUUU